rnacentral:rRNA from 1 species
GAUGAACGCUGGCGGCGUGCCUAAUACAUGCAAGUCGAGCGAACAGACGAGGAGCUUGCUCCUCUGACGUUAGCGGCGGACGGGUGAGUAACACGUGGAUAACCUACCUAUAAGACUGGGAUAACUUCGGGAAACCGGAGCUAAUACCGGAUAAUAUAUUGAACCGCAUGGUGCAAUAGUGAAAGACGGUUUUGCUGUCACUUAUAGAUGGAUCCGCGCCGCUUUAGCUGGUUGGUAAGGUAACGGCUUACCAAGGCGGCGAUGCGUAGCCGACCUGGGAGGGGGGUAGCCGACACUGGAGCGUGGACACGGUCCCUGCUCCUGCGGGAGGCAGCAGUCGGGAACCGUCCGCAGUGGUGGGAAGCCUGGCGGAGUAGCCGCGCGCGAGAUACGGAGGCCUUCGGAUCGUAAUACCCUGUUAUGAGUUGAGAACAAAUGUGUAAGUAGCUAAGCACGUAUUGACGGUACCUGCUCAGAAAGCCCCGGCUAACUACGUG